rnacentral:rRNA from 1 species
CUUGAAACCAGUAUUGAGUGAUGAAAUUCAGUAUUCCGUUUCUUUCGCAAGAGAGAAGGGGGGUAUGCACUUUUCAGUUAUCUCGAGUCAGCGUCAGUUUGGAACGUGGUAAAAAGUCUUUAGAAAGGUAGCCCCAGGAUUUAUUCUGGGGUGUUAUAGUUUAUUGACAUUAUGCCAUGAUCUGGACUGAGGAACGCAGCUGUAA